rnacentral:rRNA from 1 species
UGGCGGACGGGUGCGUAACACGUGAGUAAUCUGCCGGAAGGAGGGGGAUAGCCCAUGGAAACGUGGAUUAAUACCCUGUGUGGUCUCAGCAGGCAUCUGUUGAUGACUAAACGUGGCGCAAGCUGCGGCCUUCCGAUGAACUCGCGGCCUAUCAGCUUGUUGGCGGGGUAACGGCCCACCAAGGCGAUGACGGGUAGCUGGUCUGAGAGGAUGACCAACCACACUGGAACUGAGACACGGUCCAGACACCUACGGGUGGCAGCAGUCGAGACUCAUUCACAAUGGGCGAAAGCCUGAUGGUGUGACGCCGCGUGGAGGAUGACGGUCUUCGGAUUGUAAACUCCUGUCAUGUGGGAGUAAAGCCGGGUUUUAACUGAACGCCGGUCUGAGAGUACCACAAGAGGAAGAGGCGGCUAACUCUGUGCCAGCAGCCGCGGUAAUACAGAGGCCUCAAGCGUUGUUCGGAAUCACUGGGCGUAAAGGGUGCGUAGGCGGCGCGGAAAGUCAGGGGUGAAAUCCCGGAGCUCAACUCCGG